rnacentral:rRNA from 1 species
UCUCAGAGUUGUAAGCUGAAGAAGUGUCGACCGACAGGGUCUGGGUCCAAUUUCUUUGGAACAAGAUGUCAUGGAGGGUGAGAACCCCGUCUGUGGCUCGGAUAUUCCCGUCCUUGUGUCGUAUCUUCGAAGAGUCGGGUUGUUUGGGAAUGCAGCUCAAAAUGGGUGGUAAAUUUCAUCUAAGGCUAAAUAUUGGCGAGAGACCGAUAGCAAACAAGUAGAGUGAUCGAAAGAUGAAAAGUACUUUGAAAAGAGAGUGAAACAGUACGUGAAAUUGUUGAAAGGGAAGCGUUUGGCAUCAGCCCAUGGCACCCGUCGAUCAUCCAGGCUUCUGUCUGGUGCACUUGUCGGGUGUCGGGCCAGCGUCGACUUUGCCUGCUGGAUAAAGGCCUUGGGAAUGUGUCUCCCCUGGGAGAGUUACAGCCCUUGGUGUCAUGCAGUGUGGUGGGGUCGUGGUCCGCGGUUUAUCCUAGGACGCUGGCGUAAUGGUUCCAAGCGACCCGUCUUGAAACACGGACCAAGGAGUCUAACAUCUAUGCGAGUGUUUGGGUGUCAAGCCCG